AUUGAACGCUGGCGGCAGGCCUAACACAUGCAAGUCGAACGAGUGGCGGACGGGUGAGUAAUGUCUGGGAAACUGCCUGAUGGAGGGGGAUAACUACUGGAAACGGUAGCUAAUACCGCAUACCAUCGGAUGUGCCCAGAUGGGAUUAGCUAGUAGGUGGGGUAAAGGCUCACCUAGGCGACGAUCCCUAGCUGGUCUGAGAGGAUGACCAGCAACCCGGGAACUGAGACACGGUCCAGACUACGACGGGAGGCAGCAGUGGGGAAUAUUGCGCAAGGGGCGAAAGCCGGAUCCAGCCAUGCGGAGUGUAUGAAGAAGGCCUUCGGGUUGUAAAGUACUUUCGGCGGAGAGGCGUUACCCGAAGAAAAAGCACCGGCUAACUCCGUGCCAGCAGCCGCGGUAAUUG
rnacentral:rRNA from 1 species